ACAAUAGUAAGAGGUACUCUGUCACAUAUUCUCUGUAUUGUUUAACUAAGAUCGACCCUAAUGCUUCUUGGAACACUUACAACACUAUUGAUUUGCAGGCGUCUGUUCCUGAAUGCCACAUCUGGGAGACAACUUUAUUUUGACAAGGAGACUAAUGCAGAGGAAACCUAUUUUACAAGCUGGUCUCUCAAGACACUGGGAACACAUCAUCAGCUUCACUGCUGAGGGGUUAAUCCAAGGUUGAGCAUGUGACCAUAGCUGAACUAAACGAGUUUAUCCUCACUCCCAGCCUCAGGUCACUGGAUUUAAUAUGGAUAAAGGCUGGUGCUAUGUCUCUUGCUCCAGAUGUACAAAGAAGCUUCAGCGGACGGUCUCAUCUUUUACUUGGCAACCUGCAGUAACACCAAUGCAGUUGGUUUCCUUCGGUAUGUUGGACCCUAAAAUGAG